rnacentral:rRNA from 1 species
GAUGGACAACAGGUUGAUAUUCCUGUACUACCGAUAACCGUUUGAGAGAAGGGAUGACACAGUAGGAUAAGCUAAGCACACUGUUGGUUAUGUGUGCCCAAGCAUUGAGGCAGUCAAAGUAGGCAAAUCCGCUUUGAUAAUGCUGGGAUGUGAUGGGGAGCGAAAUUUAGUAGCGAAGUAGCUGAUUUCACACUGUCAAGAAAAGUCUCUAUCGAGGUUAAAGGUACCCGUACCGCAAACCGACACAGGUGGGUGAGGAGAGUAUCCUAAGGCCAGCGAGAGAACUGUUGUUAAGGAACUCGGCAAAAUGACCCCGUAACUUAGGGAUAAGGGGUGCCACCAUCAGGUGGCCGCAGAGAAUAGGCCCAAGCGACUGUUUACCAAAAACAUAGGUUUCUGCUAAGUCGCAAGACGAUGUAUAGGAGCUGACGCCUGCCCGGUGCUGGAAGGUUAAGGGGAUCUGUUAGAGCAAUCGAAGCAGUGAACUUAAGCCCCAGUAAACGGCGGCCGUAACUAUAACGGUCCUAAGGUAGCGAAAUUCCUUGUCGGGUAAGUUCCGACCCGCACGAAAGGCGUAACGAUUUGGGCACUGUCUCAACAACAGACUCGGUGAAAUUGUAAUUCCGGUGAAGAUGCCGGAUACCUGCGACAGGACGGAAAGACCCCAUGGAGCUUUACUGUAGCUUGACAUUGGGUCUUGGUACUACAUGUACAGGAUAGGUGGGAGGCUUUGAAACCAGGACGCCAGUUUUGGCGGAGCCAUCCUUGGGAUACCACCCUUGUAGUACUGGGACUCUAACCAUAGGCCAUGAAUCUGGUCUUGGGACACUGUCAGGUGGGCAGUUUGACUGGGGCGGUCGCCUCCCAAAAGGUAACGGAGGCGCUCAAAGGUUCUCUCAGUACGGUCGGAAAUCGUACGUAGAGUGUAAAGGCAAAAGAGAGCUUGAUUGCAAGACAUACAGGUCGAGCAAGGAUGAAAAUCGGACUUAGUGAUCCGGUGGUUCUGCGUGGAAGGGCCAUCGCUCAACGGAUAAAAGCUACCCUGGGGAUAACAGGCUUAUCUCCCCCAAGAGUCCACAUCGACGGGGAGGUUUGGCACCUCGAUGUCGGCUCAUCACAUCCUGGGGCUGUAGUAGGUCCCAAGGGUUGGGCUGUUCGCCCAUUAAAGUGGUACGCGAGCUGGGUUCAGAACGUCGUG